ACCUUCCAAGCAAACCAAGGCCAACAGCAUUGGCACGGCUUUUCACUUUUCUUGGAUCCCGCGGGAUGAUCAGGCUGAGCGAGCGACAUUUUCAGCAACAAAACUAGUGCUUUGCAAUAUGUAUGCACAACCUUUCCGGUCAAAUUGAAAUGGUAAAAUCAAUGUUUACGCAAUAUAAUACUUUUCACGUGAGUACACGACCGGAAGAUUAAUUAUUUGUGUUUCCUAAUACAAAAUGCCUGGUGGAACUCACAGAAAAAUCAUUUCCAAGAAACCGCGGUGACCAUGCGACCUUCCUGGAAGUUUAUAUAGAUCUGGAGUGAGUGGGAUUCGGCGAAAUAUUACGGGAUGUGUAACCUGAGUAUCAGGCCCUUAUGUUUUCAUUCGCCAGGAUUAAUU